UACAGAAGUCUCAAGCGUUGUUCGGAUUCAUUGGGCGUAAAGGGUGUGUAGGUGGCGCGCUAAGUCGGGUGUGAAAUUUCGGAGCUUAACUCCGAAACUGCAUUCGAUACUGGCGUGCUUGAGGACUGGAGAGGAGACUGGAAUUCAUGGUGUAGCAGUGAAAUGCGUAGAGAUCGGGAAGAACAUCGGUGGCGAAGGCGGUCUGCUGGGCCGUUGCUGACGCUGAGGCGCGACAGCGUGGGGAGCAAACAGG
rnacentral:rRNA from 1 species